UACGUAGGGGGCGAGCGUUGUCCGGAUUUAUUGGGCGUAAAGAGCGUGUAGGCGGUUCGGUAAGUCUGUCGUGAAAUCCUGAGGCUCAACCUCGGGCGUGCGAUGGAUACUGCCGGGCUAGAGGGUGGUAGAGGGAUGCGGAAUUCCAGGUGUAGCGGUGAAAUGCGUAGAUAUCUGGAGGAACACCGGUGGCGAAGGCGGCAUCCUGGACCAUUACUGACACUGAAAAGCGAAAGCCAGGGGAGCAAACGGG
rnacentral:rRNA from 1 species